rnacentral:rRNA from 1 species
UACAGAGGGUGCGAGCGUUAAUCGGAGUUACUGGGCGUAAAGGGCGCGUAGGCGGUAAGAUGUGUGUGAUGUGAAAGCCCCGGGCUUAACCUGGGAAGGGCAUCGCAAACUAUCUAACUGGAGUAUAUGAGAGGGUGGCGGAAUUUCCGGUGUAGCGGUGAAAUGCGUAGAGAUCGGAAGGAACGUCAAUGGCGAAGGCAGCCACCUGGCAUAAUACUGACGCUGAGGCGCGAAAGCGUGGGGAGCGAACAGG